rnacentral:rRNA from 1 species
UACGAAGGGGCUAGCGUUGCUCGGAAUGACUGGGCGUAAAGGGCGCGUAGGCGGAUGGCUUUGUCGGGCGUGAAAUUCCAGGGCUCAACCUUGGGGCUGCGUUCGAGACGGCGAUCUUGAGUUCGGAAGAGGGUCGUGGAAUUCCAGUGUAGAGGUGAAAUUCGUAGAUAUUGGGAAGAACACCGGUGCGAAGGCGGCGACCUGGUCCGGGACUGACGCUGAGGCGCGAAAGCGUGGGAGCAAACAGG